CUCCAGGGGCUAUUUAUAAGGGGAGGAGAUCAGGGCUCAAGCAACGAUGGAAGGAGGGUCCUGACAGUGACACCUGGAAUGAUAUAGGACUCGGGACCAUGGACAGGCAGUGAUCAGCUCCAUUGGACCCAGAAUUUCUAUGAACGAGGGCCUAAGGAAUAUGAUCUACUUUGUGUUUCUUAAAGACCACACUGCCAUGAGGAUGUGGAGAAGAGGGGUGCCAUACAAGCAAGGAGCCCAAGUACAAUGCUAUUCUGAUAAUCUGGAAACUGACUGCUGAUUUCUUCUGGGAAACACAUAAGAAGUCCGGAUUUUAAUGUAUUCUUUCCUUCUGCCAAGAAAACUUCACAAAGUCUCAGCUUUGUGAUGGAGCCACAUGGUGGAACAGACCUGGAUUCCCAUGAGAGCUCCUGAAGCAGAGUGGUUCCACCCACGGCUGGAGACAGCAUGAUGGGUUCAUGAGGAACUUCCUUUUGAAGGAAGUACUCUUGCUGCUGCUUCGUAGGCUAACGAAACAGAGGUGCAGAAGGAUGAGGAUGGAGCUCUGGCCAUCAGGAAGCAGAGCAGACAGACCAGGCUGUCCCUGGGGAUCCUGUGUGCCACUGAACACUCCCUGAUGACCUGAGACGUGGGCCUGCUUUGCUCUGAGAGGCCGUAGGGAGAUCCCAGGGCACAUGUGCUAAGAGAGAGCUGAAAUGCCGGUGGGCAGCAGUGGGCCGCGUGGGGCGAGAUCGUCACUGCGUGUUCUUGCGGCUGCGGGGUAUGCUGGAGAGGCUGAGUCCGCUGCCCGGGGAACCCGCGGUGACCCGAGCACAGAACCUUUCAAUGAGCCCUUAGAUCCGGGGGCGCGCCGCGCGGGGUGCCUGUCCGCGUCCUCGCCUUCUGCGGCGCUCUGUUGCCAUGGCAACGCUCCCAACGACGGCUCGGCGGCGGCUCGCAGCCACGUAGUGAAUAUUCCGAUAAGACGGCGGGGUUAGAAACUGCGUUGCCGAUGCGUGUUGUUAUUCAGGGUCAGCGUUACGAGGUGCUGGGCAGGGGGGUGGGAGUGGAGAAAGAGAACUUGUUUAUCUUCUGGCUAAAAUACAGAAGCACAAGUACCAAACUCUAGAAAAUACCCCAGGAAGUGUGAAUGCUCCUCAGCUGUUGUCUUGACUUUAUUAAUAUCAAAUAUUUCCAGGGAGGUAGAAAGAAUAUGGGAUUAUCUUUAUUAACAAGUAAUAUUGCUAUAAUAUUGUCUUGCCCAUCUAUUUGUUUAAUAAUACUGAGUCACCAGGGAAUGUGAUUAAAAAGCUGAGAUCCAGUCAACAUGUAAUUAAUAGUCUUCUGAGCAGUAGGGGCACAUUCAAGCUGCCCUGGUCUUAUGAACACGUUUAUACCUUCCUGUGAGGACAUUUCGGGAUGAACAAAUCUGAGGGUCGAAGCUAUGUCUAUGAAAAAAAAAAUCUGCUCCUCCAACACACUGGUGAUAGUCAUCUUUCAGGGAGUUCCAGAAGAGAAGUAAUGGGAACUGGUCAAAGGCAGAUUCAGGCAUUGGAAUAUGGAAUAUUAAUAUUUUCCUCAUCUCUGGGAAGUUUUAAAAGUAAAGC